UGGGCAGGCUGGUCUCAAACUCCUGAUCGCAGGCGAUCUGCCCACCUUGGCCUCCCGAAGUGCUGUGAUUAGAGAUGUGAGCCACUGUGCCAAGCUGAUUUUGCCCUUUAACCAGACUAUUUUUCUACCAUAGACCCACAUUUUCAGAAAAGGUCCAACAUUUAUGGUACAUGGGAGUUUUUUUCCCUUCUAUUGUUUAUCUAAAUAUUGGGUUUCAUUGGGAUUAUUUGGAAAUUAUCUAAUGCAAGUUUGGGAGUUUGUGCCUUUUUAUGUGUGUGAACUUUUUUGAAACCACUCUAUUGACAAGUCCAAAUGUUUGGGGGCCUUUGAGGUAAUCUUGUCCAGAUAAUUUUCAGGCUGUAUCCUUUAAUGCCAUUUUUUGCUGUGGAUGAAUCUAGCAUAGCCUGUGGCUGGUCCAACUCUUUCCCACUUUAGCCUGGGCAACUUGCUCUUUUAUAUAUAUUAUGUAUUGGGGUGUUUGGUAAACUAUUUGAUAAGAAGAGUUCCAUGCUUAAAAAAAAUUUGGAGAACUUAUGAUUUACUGUAACCCCCAGAUUUAACAUAUGAAAAAACUGAACUUUGUUCUAACUUUCUUCAGUAAUAUUCCUGUUUUCCUUAUUGCCUUUUUUCCCUCUCUAUUAUCCCAUUUUGUACAGAUUACAGAUUAUAUAAGCAAAAGAAAAAUCUGUGAACUAUAUGUAUGUAAUCUGAUUGGGGAGCAUAUUCUUUAUUGAAAUUAAACAUUAUUAAGUAGCAAUCAAACACAAACUUUAUUAGUUUUUUUUUUAUUGUUUUUUGACCUAAAUCGGUGUCUUUCAUUCCUGCUUCCUUAAGUAGAUGAGAGACAGAUGAAAA